rnacentral:rRNA from 1 species
ACGAACGCUGGCGGCAUGCCUAACACCUGCCAGUCGCACGAGACCUUCGGGUCUAGUGGCGCACGGGUGCGUAACGCUUGGGAACCUGCCCUUAGGUUCGGAAUAACUCCCCGAAAGGGGUGCUAAUACCGGAUAAUGUCUUCGGACCAAAGGUUUAUCGCCUUUGGAUGGGCCCGCGUUGGAUUAGCUAGUUGGUAGGGUAAAAGCCUACCAAGGCGACGAUCCAUAGCUGGUCUGAGAGGAUGAUCAGCCACACUGGGACUGAGACACGGCCCAGACUCCUACGGGAGGGAGCAGUGGGGAAUAUUGGAAAAGGGGCGAAAGCCUGAUCAAGCAAUGCCGCGUGAGUGAUGAAGGCCUUAGGGUUGUAAAGCUCUUUUACCCGGGAUGAUAAUGACAGUACCGGGAGAAUAAGCUCCGGCUAACUCCGUG